rnacentral:rRNA from 1 species
CACCGAUGGCGAAGGCAGUUCUUUGGGCAUUAACUGACGCUGAGGAGCGAAAGCAUGGGGAGCGAACAGGAUUAGAUAUCCUGGUAGUCCAUGCCGUAACCGUUGGGCACUAGGUGUGGGGGACAUUCCACGUUUUCCGCGCCGUAGCUAACGCAUUAAGUGCCCCGCCUGGGGAGUACGGCCGCAAGGCUAAAACUCAAAGGAAUUGACGGGGGCCCGCACAAGCGGCGGAGCAUGCGGAUUAAUUCGAUGCAACGCGAAGAACCUUACCAAGGCUUGACAUGGACCGGACCGGGCUGGAAACAGUCCUUCCCCUUUGGGGCCGGUUCACAGGUGGUGCAUGGUUGUCGUCAGCUCGUGUCGUGAGAUGUUGGGUUAAGUCCCGCAACGAGCGCAACCCUCGUUCCAUGUUGCCAGCGCGUAAUGGCGGGGACUCAUGGGAGACUGCCGGGGUCAACUCGGAGGAAGGUGGGGACGACGUCAAAUCAUCAUGCCCCUUAUGUCUUGGGCUUCACGCAUGCUACAAUGGCCGGUACAAAGGGAUUGCGAUACUGUGAGGUGGAGC